rnacentral:rRNA from 1 species
AACGAACGCUGGCGGCAUGCCUAACACAUGCAAGUCGAACGAGACCUUCGGGUCUAGUGGCGCACGGGUGCGUAACGCGUGGGAACCUGCCCUUAGGUUCGGAAUAACUCCCCGAAAGGGGUGCUAAUACCGGAUAAUGUCUUCGGACCAAAGAUUUAUCGCCUUUGGAUGGGCCCGCGUUGGAUUAGCUAGUUGGUAGGGUAAAAGCCUACAAAGGCGACGAUCCAUAGUUGGUUUGAGAGGAUGAUCAGCCACACUGGGACUGAGACACGGCCCAGACUCCUACGGGAGGCAGCAGUGGGGAAUAUUGGACACUGGGCGAAAGCCUGAUCCAGCAAUGCCGCGUGAGUGAUGAAGGCCUUAGGGUUGUAAAGCUCUUUUACCCGGGAUGAUAAUGACAGUACCGGGAGAAUAAGCUCCGGCUAACUCCGUG